rnacentral:rRNA from 1 species
CAACUUUCAGCAACGGAUCUCUUGGCUCUCGCAUCGAUGAAGAACGCAGCGAAAUGCGAUAAGUAAUGUGAAUUGCMGAAUUCAGUGAAUCAUCGAAUCUUUGAACGCACCUUGCGCUCCUUGGUAUUCCGAGGAGCAUGCCUGUUUGAGUGUCAUUA